UGGGGAAUUUUGGACAAUGGGCGAAAGCCUGAUCCAGCAAUGCCGCGUGUGUGAAGAAGGCCUUCGGGUUGUAAAGCACUUUUGUCCGGAAAGAAAUCCUUGGCUCUAAUACAGUCGGGGGAUGACGGUACCGGAAGAAUAAGCACCGGCUAACUACGUGCCAGCAGCCGCGGUAAUACGUAGGGUGCAAGCGUUAAUCGGAAUUACUAGGCGUAAAGCAUGCGCAGGCGGUUUGCUAAGACCGAUGUGAAAUCCCCGGGCUCAACCUGGGAACUGCAUUGGUGACUGGCAGGCUAGAGUAUGGCAGAGGGGGGUAGAAUUCCACGUGUAGCAGUGAAAUGCGUAGAGAUGUGGAGGAAUACCGAUGGCGAAGGCAGCCCCCUGGGCCAAUACUGACGCUCAUGCACGAAAGCGUGGGGAGCAAACAGGAUUAGAUACCCUGGUAGUCCACGCCCUAAACGAUGUCAACUAGUUGUUGGGGAUUCAUUUCCUUAGUAACGUAGCUAACGCGUGAAGUUGACCGCCUGGGGAGUACGGUCGCAAGAUUAAAACUUAAAUGAAUUGACGGGGUCAUAGCUG
rnacentral:rRNA from 1 species